rnacentral:rRNA from 1 species
UACGGAGGGUGCGAGCGUUGUCCGGAAUCAUUGGGCGUAAAGGGCGCGUAGGUGGCCCGGUCAGUCCGUGGUGAAAGCGCGGGGCUCAACCCCGCGUCGGCCAUGGAUACUGCUGGGCUGGAGCACUGUAGAGGCAGGCGGAAUUCCCGGUGUAGCGGUGAAAUGCGCAGAUAUCGGGAAGAACACCCGUGGCGAAGGCGGUUCUCUGGGACGGUACUGACGCUGAGACGCGAAAGCGUGGGGAGCGAACAGG